GAUGAACGCUGGCGGCGUGCCUAAUACAUGCAAGUCGAGCGAACAGAUGAGGAGCUUGCUCCUCUGACGUUAGCGGCGGACGGGUGAGUAACACGUGGAUAACCUACCUAUAAGACUGGGAUAACUUCGAGAAACCGGAGCUAAUACCGGAUAAUAUAUUGAACCGCAUGGUUCAAUAGUGAAAGACGGUUUUGCUGUCACUUAUAGAUGGAUCCGCGCCGCAUUAGCUAGUUGGUAAGGUAACGGCUUACCAAGGCAACGAUGCGUAGCCGACCUGAGAGAGUGAUCGGCCACACUGGAACUGAGACACGGUCCAGACUCCUACGGGAGGCAGCAGUAGGGAAUCUUCCGCAAUGGGCGAAAGCCUGACGGAGCAACGCCGCGUGAGUGAUGAAGGUCUUCGGAUCGUAAAACUCUGUUAUUAGGGAAGAACAAAUGUGUAAGUAACUAUGCACGUCUUGACGGUACCUAAUCAGAAAGCCACGGCUAACUACGUG
rnacentral:rRNA from 1 species